rnacentral:rRNA from 1 species
UACGGAGGGUGCGAACGUUAAUCGGAAUCACUGGGCGUAAAGCGCGCGUAGGCGGUUCGUUAAGUGGGAUGUGAAAUCCCCGGGCUUAACCUGGGAAUUGCAUUUCAAACUGGCCGACUAGAGUACGGUAGAGGGAGGUAGAAUUUCCUGUGUAGCGGUGAAAUGCGUAGAUAUAGGAAGGAAUACCAGUGGCGAAGGCGGCCUCCUGGAUCGAUACUUACGCUGAGGCGCGAAAGCGUGGGGAGCAAACAGG